UGAUAGCAAUAGACUCCGGGGCGGAUCCGCCCUCAAACCGCCAGGUCCGCUGUUCUCUCAGACUCAAUUCUGCCAUGCGCACAGAAUAUGCCCCGCCUACAGACAGCGCACUGUCAACUCGCGGACUCGCUACAGACGCUGGGCGGAUUCGCUGACUGAACGCGCCUAUUUUCAACCGUCACCAUCACUGAAUCAUUCUCCACAGUGGAAAAGCUGCCUUCAGUUCAGCGAGGACGGAACACGCUUACAGUUCGUUCAAGUGCCACCAGUUUUUUUGGAGUUUCAUCUUUUCCAUUCAUCUGAGUAAGAUUUCCUCCCUGGCAACUAUUGGGGUGUCACAUGGAACAUCCUUUCCCGUAUGUUCCAUGACGAUGUUGGGAGGAGGAUCAAUUGGAAGGGCAUGAAUGGGAAAAAAUCAUUCAAUCAGAUGGAGUCUAAAAAGUUACUCCUGUGUGCUGUGAGAAAGAGCCAUGUCUCCCGUGCCGCCACCAAUGGCGAGAUUACGAAGAAUGUAAUACGGUGGUUCAACCUGGCAGCAGAUAGGGAAGCUCAAGGAGCCGUCCCACUGUCAGCAUCCUGACC